rnacentral:tRNA from 1 species
GUCGGCGGUGGCCUGGCCGAUCGGGUUACCGUUGCCGUCGGUGAGGGUCACGGUGGCACCGGCCUCGGCGGUGCCGCUGAUG